CACAGGGGGGCACUGUGUCCAAACCACAUGCAAUCCAAAGCCUGGAAGCGGAAGUAGACCUAAUUUAAGAAACGUUUGAUGUAUUUUAUGGGUUUUUGCAAACACAUUUAAGUAAAAUUAAAUAAAUAUACAUCAUGAACAGUACUUAUUUCAUUCUUGAAAAUCAUAAUAGAGAUUAGAGGAGAAGAACGAGAGGCGUUCAACGGAAAGCUUGACAACUCUUCCUCUCUGAAUGAUGGAGGCAGGAUCAAGACAGAUGGGCAGGAUUUCCAUGUCCCCCAUCAGCUGAUGUGAAUGCGUAGAGGCCAGGACUCUUUGGCACAGAGCAAUUGCCAGCUGCUUGGAAAAGAAGGUCACUUCAGAGACGGGAUGUGUGAUUAUAAUCUCGGAGGGUGACCAGCUGCAUCCCUCUGCGGUCAGCCCUUCACAUAAAGAAGAUUGUUGGCACUUGAAUAAUUGGCCUGAGGGCUGCCAGAAAACUAAGAUGCAGCCUUGAACGUCUCUUUAGGUGCUGGAUGAUUUACUGGGUUAGCUGGUCAAUUUCUGUCACUUACACUCUCUGUUAAAGAAAUUAUAGUUACCAAUAAAACUUGCAUUUUAUUUAUUUAUUUUUAAAAGUUCAACAAUAAACUUCUUAAUAUCAGA